rnacentral:rRNA from 1 species
CAAUAGCGUAUAUUAAAGUUGUUGCGGUUAAAAAGCUCGUAGUUGGAUUUCUGCUGAGAACGACCGGUCCGCCCUUUGGGUGUGUAUCUGGCUCUUUCUUGGCAUCUUCUUGGUGAACGUUGCUGCACUUGACUGUGUGGAGCGCUACCCAGGACUUUUACUUUGAGGAAAUUAGAGUGUUUCAAGCAGGCAUACGCCUUGAAUACAUUAGCAUGGAAUAAUAAGAUAGGACCUCGGUUCUAUUUUGUUGGUUUCUAGAGCUGAGGCAAUGAUUAAUAGGGAUAGUUGGGGGCAUUCGUAUUUAACUGUCAGAGGUGAAAUUCUUGGAUUUGUUAAAGACGGACUACUGCGAANGNAUUUGCNAAGGAUGUUUNCAUUG